rnacentral:tRNA from 1 species
UAGAGGGUAGCUCAGUUGGUAGAGCGGCGGGCUCAUAACCCGUGACGGUAACGCGCCGGUUCGAGUCCGGUCCCUCUGACCA